UUGGAGGCCAGUGAAUGGCAAGACUAGGAAUAGCUGUACUUUGUAUACAAAAAGAACUUUUCGUCUAAGUGAAAAGACUUAGAUAACAAAGGAAGACGAAAAGACCCCGCGGAACUUUACCUCUUCUCAUACUUCUGCCUAUCCGCUCGAAAGUAUACGAGGUUUGAUUGGGGCAAUCUUGGAACCAGUAAAACUUCCAAUUUUUUUAAAAGACAUCCAAAAUUUACUAAGGACCGAAAAGUAGUUACCCCGGGGAUAACAGCGUAAUCCAACUCAAGAGUACACAUCGAAAGUUGGGUUU
rnacentral:rRNA from 1 species